GUUCAUAGAGCUUGAUCCAUUCGUCAACGUCCUCUCCCUCCAGGCCAGAGAACACACCAGGGUCGCGAUGUUGGGCAACCCUGAUGAUUGGAGCAGUCGGAGAGGCCGAAGCCGUUGCUGAGGCGGGCUCGUCAUCGGGAGGCAUGGUGACAAGCUCGAUGUACCGACCCCUCCAGAGUUCCGUGGGUCGAAUCACCACGUGAGCUAGUGUCACCAAGAUGCGCCCCAAUUGGCCUCCUGAGUGGCGAGCCCCGGGCACCUCUCCACCCGAGCUCUCUUUCGCUGAGCACUUCAUUGCCGCGGCAGAUGCUCACAGGCCUGCACCUAGGUGGUUACAAGGACCUUUGCUCCCGCAAUUCUUUCGUUUUCGCACUUGGUGGACUGCUUCGCAGUUAGCCCUAGCGCAGCGGGCACGCAUAGUCGAUCGGUCUUGAGGUGAGCCUUUUCCCAUAAGUGCCGUGACUGUCACACUGUGCUGUGUCUUAGUUGAAUAAACCUAUGCUUGUUCGCGAUCUGA
rnacentral:lncRNA from 1 species